UACUCAGUGUAAAAUCUCAUUGAAGUGGAAAUUCUAAAUCUUUGCAGUAGAAAGUUCUUUGAAUUGCCAUUCAGUAGUAAAAUAAAGGUUAUGGUUUCGCCAUAUAGUUGGUAAAUUUAACACGGCAUACCGAAAAAUUCCGGUAUAUCGGUAUGGUUGAAUAUCCGGUAUCGAUAUACCGAUAUUGAUUUAAUACCGAUAUUUUCGGUAUACCGAACAGUCCUAGAUAGCUGAGGUGAAAUGUGCAACCACGAAUGAAUAAUAUGAAGUUGAGACAAAGGAUUUGUGUACCGUGAAGGUACAGUUCAACAUCAAACAAAGGGUUUUUAUUUUGUGGCUCUGAAGUUUGCCAGGCUUCCAGAUCAUCAUAUCUUGACAGACGAUAGUUGUAGUGAAACUAAAUAGCCAAGUAGCAAAAAUUGCAAGAUUAUUUAACAAGAAUUGGCACCAUCCAAUCAGGAUCCAGUGAUUGGAAUAUUCCAUCGUUUGUUUUGACAUUUUGAAAGGGCCUAUUUGUAACCCACGCAUACUCCAUAGACUUAGCAAAGGCAAAACUUAAUAGACAAACGGUA